rnacentral:rRNA from 1 species
CCUGAUCCCAUUCCGAACUCAGAAGUGAAAUGUGUUAGCGCCGAUGGUAGUGUGGGAGUUCCCAUGUGAGAGUAGGACAUUGCUAAGC